rnacentral:rRNA from 1 species
AGUGAACGCUGGCGGUAGGCCUAACACAUGCAAGUCGAACGGCAGCACAGUAAGAGCUUGCUCUUACGGGUGGCGAGUGGCGGACGGGUGAGGAAUACAUCGGAAUCUACUUUUUCGUGGGGGAUAACGUAGGGAAACUUACGCUAAUACCGCAUACGACCUACGGGUGAAAGCAGGGGAUCUUCGGACCUUGCGCGAUUGAAUGAGCCGAUGUCGGAUUAGCUAGUUGGCGGGGUAAAGGCCCACCAAGGCGACGAUCCGUAGCUGGUCUGAGAGGAUGAUCAGCAACACUGGAACUGAGACACGGUCCAGACUCCUACGGGAGGCAGCAGUGGGGAAUAUUGGACAAUGGGCGCAAGCCUGAUCCAGCCAUACCGCGUGGGUGAAGAAGGCUUCGGGUUGUAAAGCCCUUUUGUUGGGAAAGAAAAGCAGCAGGUUAAUACCCCGCUGUUCUGACGGUACCCAAAGAAUAAGCACCGGCUAACUUCGUG